rnacentral:rRNA from 1 species
AAAUUGAAGAGUUUGAUCAUGGCUCAGAUUGAACGCUGGCGGCAGGCCUAACACAUGCAAGUCGAACGGUAACAGGAAGCAGCUUGCUGCUUUGCUGACGAGUGGCGGACGGGUGAGUAAUGUCUGGGAAACUGCCUGAUGGAGGGGGAUAACUACUGGAAACGGUAGCUAAUACC